UCUGGGUUUAGUUUAAUAAAAAAACAUCUCCCUUACACCGAGAAAAUAUUCGUGCAAGUCGAAUUCCCCAGAA
rnacentral:tRNA from 1 species